CGCAUCUGUGCAUGCAGCAUAUCAAUAAGCGGAGGAAAAGAAACUAACAAGGAUUCCCUUAGUAACGGCGAGUGAAGCGGGAAGAGCUCAAAUUUGAAAUCCUUCAAGGUUUUACCUUGACGAAUUGUAGUUUAAAGAAGUGUUUUCUGUUGAAGUUUUGGUAAAAGUUCUUUGGAAUAGGACAUCAUAGAGGGUGAGAAUCCCGUAUUUGACCAUUAUUUUCAGCUGUGUGAUACACUUUCAAAGAGUCGGAUUGUUUGGGAAUGCAGUCCAAAAUGGGUGGUAAAUUUCAUCUAAAGCUAAAUAUUGGCGAGAGACCGAUAGCGAACAAGUACCGUGAGGGAGAGAUGAAAAGAACUUUGAAAAGAGAGUUAAACAGUACGUGAAAUUGUCAAAAGGGAAGCGUUUGACACCAGUGUUGUUUUUCUCGAAAAUCAAUUAAAAAGAGUUAGAUUUUGUUGUGUAUUGACCUUAACAGCUUGCAUUUCAAUUUUCUUGCUUUUUUUAAUGCACUUUUCGUUUAACAAGUCAGACAUCAGUUUCUUUUGUUGUAAAAAGGUCAUUGGAAGGUGGCUUUCUUUUCGGAGAAAGUGUUUAUAGCCUUUGACUCCUGCAAUCGGAGAGACUGAGGUCUGCAGCGUAGAUCCUUCGGGGUUAGAUACAUUUGUGCUAAGUUAUAGCUUUUUAUAGACAACUUGUUGACUAUGAUUAGUCUUGUAGCUUACUCGCUUAUGCUAUUUUACCUACGCUUAGGAUGUUGACGCGCGUGUGUGCGUG
rnacentral:rRNA from 1 species